CAAGUCGAGGGGUAUAUAGUGCUUGCACUAUAGAGACCGGCGCACGGGUGCGUAACGCGUAUGCAAUCUACCUUGUACAGGGGGAUAGCCCAGAGAAAUUUGGAUUAAUACCCCGUAGUAUUAAGAGUUGGCAUCGACUUUUAAUUAAAGAUUUAUCGGUACAAGAUGAGCAUGCGUACUAUUAGCUAGUUGGAGUGGUAACGGCACACCAAGGCUACGAUAGUUAGGGGUCCUGAGAGGGAGAUCCCCCACACUGGUACUGAGACACGGACCAGGCUCCUACGGGAGGCAGCAGUGAGGAAUAUUGGACAAUGGUGGGAACACUGAUCCAGCCAUGCCGCGUGCAGGAAGACUGCCCUAUGGGUUGUAAACUGCUUUUUUACGGGAAGAAACACUCUCACGUGUGAGAGCUUGACGGUACCGUAGGAAUAAGGAUCGGCUAACUCCGUGCCAGCAGCCGCGGUAAUACGGAGGAUCCGAGCGUUAUCCGGAAUCAUUGGGUUUAAAGGGUCCGUAGGCGGGCUUCUAAGUCAGUGGUGAAAUCCGGCAGCUUAACUGUCGAACUGCCAUUGAUACUGGGAGUCUUGAAUUACUGUGAAGUGGUUAGAAUAUGUAGUGUAGCGGUGAAAUGCUUAGAU
rnacentral:rRNA from 1 species